UUGCUGGGCGGAUUAGUGGCGAACGGGUGAGUAAUACGUGAGUAACCUGCCCUUGACUCUGGGAUAAGCCUGGGAAACUGGGUCUAAUACUGGAUACUACCUCUUACCGCAUGGUGGGUGGUGGAAAGGGUUUUACUGGUUUUGGAUGGGCUCACGGCCUAUCAGCUUGUUGGUGGGGUAAUGGCUCACCAAGGCGACGACGGGUAGCCGGCCUGAGAGGGUGACCGGCCACACUGGGACUGAGACACGGCCCAGACUCCUACGGGAGGCAGCAGUGGGGAAUAUUGCACAAUGGGCGGAAGCCUGAUGCAGCGACGCCGCGUGAGGGAUGACGGCCUUCGGGUUGUAAACCUCUUUCAGUAGGGAAGAAGCGAGAGUGACGGUACCUGCAGAAGAAGCGCCGGCUAACUACGUGCCAGCAGCCGCGGUAAUACGUAGGGCGCAAGCGUUGUCCGGAAUUAUUGGGCGUAAAGAGCUCGUAGGCGGUUUGUCGCGUCUGCUGUGAAAGCCCGGGGCUCAACCCCGGGUCUGCAGUGGGUACGGGCAGACUAGAGUGCAGUAGGGGAGACUGGAAUUCCUGGUGUAGCGGUGAAAUGCGCAGAUAUCAGGAGGAACACCGAUGGCGAAGGCAGGUCUCUGGGCUGUUACUGACGCUGAGGAGCGAAAGCAUGGGGAGCGAACAGGAUUAGAUACCCUGGUAGUCCAUGCCGUAAACGUUGGGCACUAGGUGUGGGGGACAUUCCACGUUUUCCGCGCCGUAGCUAACGCAUUAAGUGCCCCGCCUGGGGAGUACGGCCGCAAGGCUAAAACUCAAAGGAAUUGACGGGGGCCCGCACAAGCGGCGGAGCAUGCGGAUUAAUUCGAUGCAACGCGAAGAACCUUACCAAGGCUUGACAUUCACCGGACCGCCCCAGAGAUGGGGUUUCCCUUCGGGGCUGGUGGACAGGUGGUGCAUGGUUGUCGUCAGCUCGUGUCGUGAGAUGUUGGGUUAAGUCCCGCAACGAGCGCAACCCUCGUUCUAUGUUGCCAGCACGUGAUGGUGGGGACUCAUAGGAGACUGCCGGGGUCAACUCGGAGGAAGGUGGGGAUGACGUCAAAUCAUCAUGCCCCUUAUGUCUUGGGCUUCACGCAUGCUACAAUGGCCGGUACAAAGGGUUGCGAUACUGUGAGGUGGAGCUAAUCCCAAAAAGCCGGUCUCAGUUCGGAUUGAGGUCUGCAACUCGACCUCAUGAAGUCGGAGUCGCUAGUAAUCGCAGAUCAGCAACGCUGCGGUGAAUACGUUCCCGGGCCUUGUACACACCGCCCGUCAAGUCACGAAAGUUGGUAACACCCGAAGCCGGUGGCC
rnacentral:rRNA from 1 species